AUUGAACGCUGGCGGCAGGCCUAACACAUGCAAGUCGAGCGGAUGAGGAAAGCUUGCUUUUCGAUUCAGCGGCGGACGGGUGAGUAAUGCCUAGGAAUCUGCCUGUUAGUGGGGGAUAACUCGGGGAAACUCGGGCUAAUACCGCAUACGUCCUACGGGAGAAAGUGGGGGAUCUUCGGACCUCACGCUAACAGAUGAGCCUAGGUCGGAUUAGCUAGUAGGUGAGGUAAUGGCUCACCUAGGCGACGAUCCGUAACUGGUCUGAGAGGAUGAUCAGUCACACUGGAACUGAGACACGGUCCAGACUCCUACGGGAGGCAGCAGUGGGGAAUAUUGGACAAUGGGCGAAAGCCUGAUCCAGCCAUGCCGCGUGUGUGAAGAAGGUCUUCAGAUUGUAAAGCACUUUAAGUUGGGAGGAAGGGUAUUCACCUAAUACGUGGGUACUUUGACGUUACCGACAGAAUAAGCACCGGCUAACUCUGUGCCAGCAGCCGCCGUAACAC
rnacentral:rRNA from 1 species